GCAAGUCGAGGGGCAGCAUAGAACUUCGGUUCUGAUGGCGACCGGCGAACGGGUGAGUAACGCGUACACAACCUACCUUCAAGAGGGGGAUAGCCUCGGGAAACUGAGAUUAAUACCCCAUAGUAUUACCUUUAAUAUUUAUUGGUAAUUAAAGCUCCGGCGCUUGGAGAUGGGUGUGCGUCUGAUUAGGUAGUUGGUAGGGUAAAGGCCUACCAAGCCACGAUCAGUAGGGGGCGUGAGAGCGUGGACCCCCACACGGGUACUGAGACACGGACCCGACUCCUACGGGAGGCAGCAGUAAGGAAUAUUGGACAAUGGGCGAAAGCCUGAUCCAGCCAUCCCGCGUGCAGGAUGACGGCCCUAUGGGUUGUAAACUGCUUUUAUCAGGGAAGAAACCCUUGGAUUUAUCCGAGCUGACGUACCUGAAGAAUAAGCACCGGCUAACUCCGUGCC
rnacentral:rRNA from 1 species